UUGAAGUUGAUGAAACUGGAAAAAACAAUUUGUGAUGAAUAAGGCUUGGUAUCCUUCUACGAAACUUCAGAAGGAAAUUGUAUGCAACUUACAUCAAGCCACAUCUAGGCAAUUCCAAAAAACUUGGAGAAAUCCCUGUUCGAUAUCGUGCAAUAAUUCCUAAAAAAAGAUGAUUGGAACAAAUUCAUGACAUAUACGCAUUCUGAACAGUUUAAUGUUACAACUUUUUUUCCAAAACUUCUUCAUUAAUUUAUCAUAAAAUUACCAAAAAGUGCAUGACAAAUCUUUUUUUUUUUUUUUGACAGGUUGUGUCACAAAAGACUAUCAAAGCGCGAAAGAUGUCAAAGUAUGUUGAUCGGAUGGGACGAGGGGGGUAUACUACUUUUAGGCGGAAGUUGAUUGAAGAGAAAGUGAUUUCAAAGGAAGAAAUGCCCCCAAGGUAAAUUAUGUGGUGUAAAGGACAUGAAAGUAAAGGAGAAUUUAAGGAUGAAGAUGUUAAACUUAUGGCGGAUAAACUAAUGGAACAAGAAAAUCAGAUAAAAGAAGUACAAGUAAAUGUUGAACCAGGCAUGGAUGUCAUGACCUUAGUUUUUGGCAAGGAAACGGACGGAUUUUU